CAGCCCCUUCGACCGGCCCACUCCCCAGUCCCCACCCCACGAACUUCCCAACCACCACCACCUCUCGCUCUCGCACCACGUCUGGGCUCUGCCCCAUCCUUCCGCCGCCGCCGACGACCUGGCUCCGGCGCACCUCCUCCCGCCGCCGCCCUGGCUCCAGAGCACCUCCUUCCUCCGCCCCUCGGCCCAAGCACGCCACCCGUCUCCGCCCAUCCCACUCCUCGGCCUGACGGGCGUCCCACCGCUGCCCCGUCCCCGACGCACCACCUACCGCCGGCCCGCUCGCCCCAAUGCCCCACCUGCUGCUGGCCACCUGAGCCGCCGCCCUCAUUCGCGUGCUGUGCCGUGGUGACGCGCGCCCGUCCCUCCCUUUGCCCUGCUGCCAAAUCCACAACGCGCACCCCCGCGACCCUCUCCCAGAUUCACCGGUACAGGUGAUGGUCGCGCCGCCUAUGGGGAGCCCAUAGUGUUUGAUGCAUCUCUCGGUCACCGCGUCCCGCUCCUCUUCCACCUCCUGCAGCGGCUGCGAGAUCCUCUCGUUCUUCUUCUUUGUAUGUGCCUCGCCGGUGACAUCCGCUGGUGGUGGUGUAGCGGCCACCGCUGCUGCUGGUGGUGGUGGUUAGGAGGAGGAAGAAGAUGCAGAUCAUUACAGAUGGGGCAGGGCGUCGACAGGAGAAGCAGGGCGCGAUGGUGGCCAUGAGCCAUGGCAUCCAACUUCCUCUUGUUCACUGUAGUGCCGCCGCAUUCUCUGGCAUGGCCCCGGCGCUGCACGCCUCUGCCCGAUCUCCCGGCUCGCAACGGCGCGAUUCUUCACAUACUACCGGAUUUCAUCGGAGGAGGUCCCCCUGCUGCACCUCCGCCUCCUGGGUCCCGCUGGCGGAACUCGCCUGUUACUCCUCAUGGCUGCACUACUCUCUCUUACUCUCCCUCUCUCUCUUUCUGAUUGAGGCGAUUUAAUCGGAACAAAUUCAUGUACAUGCUUGAUUGCAAGUAUUUUUUCCUAGAUGCGAACAAGAACCCAUGGCUUGCUA